AGACAACAAAAUGUUAAAUAUUAAUUUUGUCACCUUAGGUCGAUCGGUAUCUCACAUCCUUAAUUAAUUGAGGAUUUUAUUUCCUAAGUUUUUUCUAGGUCACACCCACUACUUUUCCUGGGCCAUUAGCUCAGGUGGUUAGAGCGCACCCCUGAUAAGGGUGAGGUCCCUGGUUCAAGUCCAGGAUGGCCCAUAUCUCUAUGUUGGGGGUAUAGCUCAGUUGGUAGAGCGCCUGCUUUGCAAGCAGGAUGUCAGCGGUUCGAGUCCGCUUACCUCCACUGAUCACCACCUCUUCAUAAUUUAUAGAAGGGAAUUGUUUUUGAGUUGUGAUCAAAUUCUGAACGAAUCUAGCUUCCUAAUCUAAUUUAUUAAGAUGCUGGACUCAUUGAAUUAAUUUCAUUGUUUUCAGAGAACCUUGACAACUGCAUAGAUUAUUUUUAAAGACAAUAAGCAUCUUUAAUGAUGCAGAUUUAUUAUUUGUGCAAAUGCAUUAAAUAACAAUUCUAUUAAGCUGAUGCUUCAAUUUUUGAAGUUAUU
rnacentral:tRNA from 1 species